GCCCGCGCCCGCCUCUCUCUCCCCCUCUCCGCCGCCUCUCCCCGAUCCAGAUCCAACCCAAGCGCCCGUCCUCCGCCGCCGCAGCCACGACGUCGCGGCCUGCUCCUCGUGGUGGCCGCGUCGGUGCUCCGCGCCGCGCAGAGCCCCAUCUCGCAGUCGUCGUCGGCCGGCGCGCCCACCGCGUCCCCGCUCCUCCGCCCCGACGUGGACUCUUGCAACCCUCUCUCCAACCCUAACCCUCUCCCUCCCUCAGAUCUCAAUACGCCGCCGCCCCUAUCCCUACCCCCGCGUAGCCCAACCCAAUCCGCCGCCGUCCUCUACCCAGAUCCCUCCCCGCUCCGGCGAGCCCGCCAUGAACCGUCUGCGGGCGGCAGCGCAGCGGGAGCAGCACGGGCUUCACCUCCCCGGGCCGUGUCUCCCCCUUCCACCAUCGCUCCUCCUCCACCUCCUUCACGGCCUCCCUCCCGGGCAGCAGCCUCGACAGGGACGACCUGGAUCCGGACCCGGCCGCGGCCACCACGGAGGCCCUCGCCAAGGUCGACCUCUCCGACGACCCGGACGCCACCGCCACCGCCAAGUCCGGCUCCAGCAAGCCCCGUCAGGCAGCCAGAGGCGGCGGCUGCGACGUGGGCAAGUCGCUCGACUACCUGUACCGCGCGUGCAGGAUCGCUACCCUCGCCGUUCUUUCAGUUCAUUUUGCCACCUCCCGCUCCCCAGCUUCAAAAGUUUCGAUUCAUUUCGAUGCCGGCCGCCUCCAAAAGUUCAGAUCCCCCCUCCCGCUCCCCAGCACACUGUUCCCGUGCGCCUCCCCGACAGAGAUCUGACAUCGCGGCGCCCCUUUUUAAUUGACCGCCUGAACCUGAACCUGAACAACCGGUUGUGUGUGUUUCUGUUUCUGAAUUUUUCGCUUUGAUUCAGGUGAUCGCAAUCAACAAGGAGUUCCCGGGCCCCGUCGUCAACGUCACCACAAACUACAACGUCGCCGUCAACGUCCUCAACAGCCUCGACGAGCCGCUCCUCAUCACCUGGGACGGCAUCCAGCAGCGGAAGAACUGCUGGCAGGACGGUGUGCUGGGCACCAACUGCCCCAUCCCGCCCGGAUGGAACUGGACCUACAACUUCCAGGUCAUGGACGACGCGUGCAAGUCGCUCGACUAUCCAGAAGACCAGACCUGUGCUUUCAGUUCAGUUUCGUCAGAUAUAUCUGCUGCCAUGCUCUUCUAUUUGUAUUCAGUUUGGUCAGACUUGUGGUUCCUGGACGGCCUUGGCUAUCCUAUCUAUCUCAGCUUCAUCAGUUAGGGGCAAUCAAUGUAGUAGUAGUGUAACGUUGAUUUGCAUCUUAUCUUAUCUGUGGGAAAAAUGAUCGAAUCGAAUUGCAGGAGCUAUCUUAAUUAGCUUCAUCUGUUCGGAUCAUGUGUCAAUCAUAUUAGCUGUGAUGCCAUUUUUAUGUUCGUAUUAGCUGCAUCUUAUUUGUGUUUCCCCAGUUUAUGAAUCAUGUUUUCGUUUACGUGCCGUAAGAAGGCUGUAUUUGGUAAUCACCCAAAAUGCCUCUCUUUUUUUAGCUGAUGAAUCGUCCUACAUGCACAGUUUGCUUGAUGUCCGUGUUUGUCCAGAUUCCAGAAUGUUUGAUUGCAACAUUCUAUUGAAGAUUGAAGUAUAGGACCAGCGUACAUGAUUUGGAACCUUUUGGUUUCGAUCAGUUGCUGCUGCUGAUUUAAUGCCUAUGCUCACGCUGCUGUUGAUUAAAUGCUUAUGUUGUUGCUGCAUGCUUAUGCUACUGAUUCAAUGCUUAGGAAUUGAUUGAAUUGAACCUGCUGUAAUCCUUCCUGUUCUACUUGUAUUUAAUUUUUGGGUUUCUAUUUGAUUUUUUAGUCUGUUAUAUACGGUUCAUCUUCAGUUUCUUCUGUAACUUGCUUGGAGCUUAGAAUACACAGCCCAACUAGUCUCAUAUACAACUAAGACCAAUGAUUCAUGCUGAAUUCUGUAUAUAUAUGUAUGUGUUGGAUUGGAGAACCACUCGAGGAGGGAGGGAGGAAGCACGGAAGGUCACCAUGGACCUCGCCCAACUCCCACCCAUCUUCCUGCCUGCAGCUGUAGGCCAAAUAAAGGAUGUUGUUCUCGGUGGAGUUGCGCUUGAGGAUGAGCAGAGAGAGAAAUUUAAUCAAAUCCAAUAGAGCGUUCACCCGAUGGCGGAAUACCACGCCGCAGUGUGGGCAGUCGGCGGUUGCGCUAUAUACGUGAGUGACAAACCCGAAAACCAUGACUUCGAUCUGCUGAGGAAGCUUGUGUUUCCUGACGGAUCAAUCCUGCGAGCCAAACUGCCCGGGAGACAAACUACACUACCGUUGUCGCGGAAAUUCCGUGCGAUGGAAGCUUCUAGAGCCUGCUGGUACUUCCUAGCCAGAAGCCCCACGAGCUCGACGUCCAGCCCUACAACCACCACCCCACGCACAAGCAGGUGCUCUGCUCUUGCUCACGUCUAGCACCGUCUCCGGCGUGGUGGUGCUUCUUGAGGCGACCGGCGUGACGGCGGCGAUCACAAGCUCUCUGCUAUGAGUAGACGUCAACGAUGCCUACUUGCUUGGCUGCUAAAGUGAUGCAUGCGCCGGUCAAGCAAGCACACAUGCAUAUACGUACAUGUUAGGAUAGUAGCAGAUGUGCCAUAAUUCCUGUGUAAGGAAAUGUAUUCCUGAGAUGAUUUUGUUAUGUUAUCUAAACCCGGGAGAUGUCUUAUGUGAUGUGAUAUGAUGGAUGAUCUGAAUUCGACAUUGAGUUUUCCUGAUUUGAAUAUGAAACAAUGUCGGAUGCGUGU
rnacentral:rRNA from 1 species